CGCACGACGUUCCCUUUUUGCGCAUGCGCCGGCUACUUCCUAUAUAAGUCGGUGAACGAAGGCAGCACGGUCUCUGGCAGCGGUGCGGGCAACGUGGAAGCAGAGUGUCUGGAAAUGGGGCACAGGCUGCUGUGGAUACGUCACCUCAUCCAAAUGUCAAAAGGAGGAGGGGUGAAAUCGAAAUUCAUGAUCAUGAGAAGGCUUGUCUGGCGCUGAUGGGUUUCACAGUAAAACUUGGGUUUAUGCUCCAUUUAGAGAAAUCAUUGGGCGCCUGUGACUGACGGAACAAAGCAAUGCAUAUGGAAGUCCCAUGAUUCUCGGCUGAACACUGCAGUCCAGUCAGGCUACACAUGUCUAUGCGUGUAAGUAACCGCAAUACCUGAAGACUUUGAGUUAUGCCUUGGGAACAAUUCAAAAUGGGCUGUACUACUUGGUCUCAAGGCAAGACAGAUCAGCCCAUGAAUCAUGAACGUUGCUACACAUAGAAAAAUGUCUGGAGUUUUCUCAAUAAAAAAUUAUAUUGAACUAUAA